rnacentral:rRNA from 1 species
UAGGGGAUGAGGUGUGGUUAGGGGUGAAAAGCCAAUCGAACUCGGUUAUAGCUGGUUCUCCUCGAAAUAGCUUUAGGGCUAGCGUCGAAAUUGAGUUACAUGUAGGUAGAGCACUGAAUGCGUGAUGGCCCCAUCCCGGGGUACUGAUCUCAAUCAAACUCCGAAUGACAUGUAAUAUGUUCGGCAGUCAGACUGUGGGUGAUAAGGUCCAUAGUCGAAAGGGAAACAGCCCAGAACGCCAGUUAAGGUCCCAAAAUAUAUGCUAAGUGGAAAAGGAUGUGGGAACGCACAAACAACUAGGAGGUUGGCUUAGAAGCAGCCACCCUUUAAAGAAAGCGUAACAGCUCACUAGUCGAGUGAUCCUGCGCCGAAAAUUUACCGGGGCUAAGCAUAUUACCGAAACUGCGUCAGUACUUAUGUACUGGGUAGGGGAGCGUACCAUUUGCACAGAAGGUGUACCGUAAGGAGCGCUGGAGCGGAUGGUAGUGAGAAUUCCGGUGUUAGUAGCGAAAUGUGGGUGAGAAUCCCACACACCGUUUGCCUAAGGUUUCUAGGGGAAGGCUCGUCCGCCCUAGGUAAGUCGGGACCUAAGAUCAGGCCGAAAGGCGUAGUCGAUGGACAACAGGUUGAUAUUCCUGUACUCGGAUACAAGUGAUGGAGUGACAGAUGUGGAUAACGUAAACGCACUAUUGGAUGUGCGUCCAAGCGAAAUAGCUUUAGCAUAGGCAAAUCCGUGCUAUAUACAGCGAAAGCGUGAUGGGGAGUGAACGGGUGACCAAGUAACGAAGUACGUGAUUCCAUGUCUCUAGAAAAGCUUCUAGCGCUAAUUGUAUUACGACCCGUACCGCAAACCGACACAGGUAGGCAGGUAGAGUAUACCAAGGUGAGCGAGAGAACUGUUGCUAAGGAACUCGGCAAAAUGACCCCGUAAGUUAGCGAGAAGGGGUGCUCUUUAAAAAGAGCCGCAGUGAAUAGGCCCAAACGACUGUUUAUCUAAAACACAACUCUCUGCUAAGUCGUAAGACGACGUAUAGGGGGUGACACCUGCCCGGUGCUGGAAGGUCAAGGGGAAGAGUUAGCGAUUUAUCGCGAAGCUUAGAACUGAAGCCCCAGUGAACGGCGGCCGUAACUAUGACGGUCCUAAGGUAGCGAAAUUCCUUGUCAGGUAAGUUCUGACCCGCACGAAAGGUGCAACGAUUUGGGCGCUGUCUCAGCGACAGACUCGGUGAAAUCUUAUUACCGGUAAAAAUGCCGGUUACCCGCAGCUAGACGGAAAGACCCCGUGGAGCUUUACUGCAAUCUGAUAUUGGGUUUUGAGCAAUUAUGUGUAGGAUAGGUGGGAGACUUUGAAGUGUGGACGCUAGUUUACAUGGAGUCAUCCUUGGAAUACCACCCUUAAUUGUUUGAAAUCCUAAUCGCGCACCGUAAUCCGGUGCCGGGACAGUGUCAGAUGGGCAGUUUGACUGGGGCGGUCGCCUCCUAAAGAGUAACGGAGGCGCCCAAAG